rnacentral:lncRNA from 1 species
GCUAGUUCUGCCCAUGCAGCAGAGCUCCACAAAAGUGCGGGAAUGUCUGACAGGGAAGAAUCAGAGAAACCUUCACCAGCAGCCCGACAUUCACCUGGACGGACAGUGCACUUUUCUUACGUCUGGGCAGGGAAGGCAGGGCGCACCAUCUACCGCAGGCUAGGAUGAUCACCAACCGCCCCACCGCACCCUGCGCCAGCCCUACGGCGCCCGCGGGCUGCAAGUAGCGGCGACCCAGGAGCAUGCGCGCUGCCGCCCCUGGCCUGCCAGGACCCAGAGGGAGCGGAGCACGCGCCUUUGGGAAUCUUCGGUGCGCCAAGUCUGUUCGCCGCCGGGGUCUAUCACCCCCGCCCCUCGCCUCUGCCCGUGAGCGUGUGAGUUGUAGCGUACCCUGGGGUCUGUUCUGGAGGAGGCCUGAGAGCGGGGUUGCCUGGGGCGUGGGUCUCUCAUCCCUCUCGUCCUGGUGAAGAAGAAGAGUAUACCCAGCGGCAGCUGGCUUGGCUUUUUCAGAGGAAACAGAGACUCUCAGACAUGAAUACUGUGACACUGACCACCAGGCCAACUUAACAUCAGCAGAUAUCCUGUCUCAGAUGAAGAGAAUGGCCUGUCCAGAAGACAGCCAAAUACAUCCUUCAAACAGACUUCACUGCAGGAGACAGAGUGGAUUCAUCCUGUAUUCUCCAUGUAGACUUCCAUCUUCAUGAGUACUCCAAGAAGAUGGUUCAGUUGACUAUUGCAAAGGUAAAAAUCCAAGAGAUACAGAUACAGAAUAGGACAGAGAGACAUAUUUUUAAGCUAUUGAUUACAAUUAUGGUAUGCCUAUAGAUUGCAGAACCGAGGAGAAAGGGAACAUUAUGAUUUACCAUCAAGAAAAACUUAGAAUUGGUGCUGAGUAGUUCAUUCUAAGAAUUACCAUUUAUCUGUAUUUGCCCCCAUUUUCAUUGUUACUAGGCCAAAAGUCAUUUCAUAAUUAAUAAGUUGGAUGUCAAAAUCAACUUGUGUUAUUAUAAAAUUAGCAAUCUACAUUAUGUGUUUCUUUACAUUUUUAUAGGAGUAUUUAUAAAUAUACCUAAGAAAACUGACAAUGUGGAGUACAAAUGUUGCAUUUUCAAAACUGGGAAUCUGUUUAUUGAGGCUCUAUUUUUAGUUAUGUAUGAUAAUAGACUGCAUUUCAGGUUUCAAACCUUGUAAAAAUAAUUUCCUUAUGAUAUGUUUACUCAUUUUGCAAAUAAUUAUUGUGUCAUAUAGCAAGAGAUUGUACUUCCAUUCAGCUGGUUAAAGUACAAAAUCAUUGAUAUGGUUUGGCUGUGUCCCCACCCAAAUCUCAACUUGAAUUGUACCUUCCAGAAUUCCCACAGGACCCAGGGGGAGGUAAUUGAAUCAAGGGGGCUGGUCUUUCCCAUGCUAUUCUUGUGAUAGUGAAUAAGUCUCACGAGAUCUGAUGGUUUUAUCAGGGGUUUCUGCUUUUGCUGCUUCUUCAUUUUUCUCUUGCUGCUGCCGUGUAAGAAAUGCCUUUCACCUCCUGCCAUGAUUCUGAGGCCUCCCCAGCCAGGUGGAACUAUAAGUCCAAUUAAACCUCUUUUUGUUCCCAGUCUCAGGUAUGUCUUUAUCAGCAGCAUGAAAAUGGACUAAUAGUACCAGUAGAGUGGGGCAUUGCUGAAAAGAUACCCGAAAAUGUGGAAGCAACUUUGGAACUGGGUGUUGAAAUAAUCUGGAGGGCUCAGAAGAAGAUAGGAAAAUGUAGGAAAGUUUGGAACCUCCUAGAGACUGUGAAUGGCAUUGACAAAAAUACUGAUAGUGAUAUGAACAAUAAGGUCCAGGCUGAGGUGGUCUCAGAUGGAGAUGAAGACCUUGUUGGGAACUGAAGUAAAGGUGACCCUUGUUAUGUUUUAGCAAGGAGACUGGCAGCAUUUCACCCUUGCCCUAGAGAUUUGUGGAACUUAGAGCUUGAGAGAGAUGACUUAGGGUAUCUGGUGGAAUAAAUUUCUAAGCAGCAAAGCAUUCAAAAGGUGACUUGGGUGCUGUUAAAAACAUUCUGUUUUAAAAGGGAAACAAGAGCAUAAAUGUGGAAAAUCUGCAGCCUGAUGAUGCAGUAGAAAAGAAAAACCCAUUUUUUUUAAGGAGAAAUUCAAGCUGGCUGCAGAAAUUUGCAUAAGCAGCAAGGAGCCUAAUGUUAAUCCCCAAGACCAUGGGGAAAAUGUCUCCAGGUCAUGUCAGAGACCUUCAUGGCAGCCCCUCCCAUCACAGGCCCAGAGGCCCAGGAGGAAAAAGUGGUUUUGUGGGCUGGGCCCAGGGUCUCUGUGCUGUGUGCAGCCUAGGGACUUGGUGCCCUGUGUCCCAGCUGCUCCAGCCAUGGCUGAAAGGAGCCAACAUAGAGCUUGGGCUGUGGCUUCAGAGGGUAGAGGCCCCAAGCAUUGGCAGCUUCCAUGUGAUGUUGAGCCUGUGGGUGCAGAGAUGUCAAGAAUUGAGAUUUGGGAACCUCUGCCUAGAUUUCAGAAUAUAUAUGGAAACACCUGGAUGUCCAGGCAAAAGUUUGCUGCAGGGGCAGAGCCCUCAUGGGGAACCUCUCCUAGGGCAGUGUGGAAGGGAAAUGUGGGGCAGAGCCCCCACACAGAGUCCCUGUUGGGGCACUGCCUAGUGGAGCUGUGAGAAGAAGGCCACAGUCCCAGAACGGUAGACCCCAGAAUGGUAGACCCCAGAAUGGUAGAUCAACCACCAACUUGCAUCUUGUGCCUGGAAAAGCUACAGACACUCAACAUCAGCCUGAGAAAGCAGCCAGGAGGGAGGCUGUACUCUGCAAAGCCACAGGGGCGGAGCUGCACAAGACCAUGGGAACCUAUCUCUUGCAUCAGCAUGACCUGAAUGUGAGACAUGGAGUCAAAGGAGAUCAUUAUGGAGCUUUAAAAUUUGACUGCCCCACUGGAUUUCAGACUUGCAUGGACCCUGUAACCCCUUUGUUUUGGCCAAUUUCUCUCAUUUGGAACAGCUGUAUUUACCCAAUACCUGUACCCCCCAUUGUAUCUAGGAGGUAACUAGCUUGCUUUUACAGGCUUGUAAGUGGAAGGGACUUGCCUUGUCUCAGAUGAGACUUUGGACUGUGGACUUUUGGGUUAAUGCUGAAAUGAGUUAAGACUUUGGGGAACUGUUGGGAAGGAAUGAUUGGUUUUGAAAUGUGAGGAUUAUGAAAUUUGGAGGAGCCCAGGGAGGAAUGAUAUGGUUUGGCUGUGUCCCCACCCAAAUCUCAACUUGAAUUGUAUCUCCCAGAAUUCCCACAUGUUGUGGGAGGGACGCAGUGGGAGGUAAUUGAAUCAUGGAGGCCAGUCUUUUCUGUGCUAUUCUCGUGAUAAUAAGUCCCACAAGAUCUGGUGGGUUUAUGAAGAGUUUCUGCUUUUGCUUCUUCCUCAUUUUGCUCUUGAUGCCACCACGUAAGAAGUACCUUUUGCCUCCCACCUGAUUUUGAGGCCUCCCCAGCCAUGUGGAACUGUAAGUCCAAUUAAACCCUUUUUGUUUCCAGUCUCAGAUAUGUCUUUAUCAGCAGCAUGGAAACGAACUAAUACAAUCAUAGUUUUUAAAAACCAAUCUAAAUGUAACUAUUGAACAUGAUUAGCUGUUUCAUCCCUAGUAGAGUGACAGAAGGAAACAUCCAUAGACAGGAGUAAUAAGAAACCAGCUAAACUUCUAAACCAUUUUUAAAGGAUGCGUGUGAGCUGGCAUAACCUACCUACUCUUUCCUAUGGGCCUCUACUGAGAGCAUGGAGGUAAUACAUCUAAUACACUGAAGACCAGGGCAAGAGAGCUGGAAGAAAUCCCUCUUAAGCACUCCAGGCCUUCACUGAGUAUGAGGUGCUGGUCUCCAAAGGCAGAGGGCAAGGCAAGGCAGAGAGGGAUCUCCUGGGGCACAGACAACUGACAAAAGAAACACUUGGAUUGUUGUAUAAGAGGAGUGAGCUUUGUAAAUACCACGUUAGCUGGCCUGCUGUGGAACAGAAUGCCUGUGAAUGACAGUAGUCAGGUAGUGGAUGAACACUGAUCUGAGAGCCUGUAAAAGAAACUCUUUGGAAUGAUAAUGUCAUCUAGACCUUUGAUACGCAAAGUGUGAUUCCUGGACAGAUGUAUUGGCUUUACCUGGCAGCUUGUUGGAAAUGUAAAACCUCAGGCCUCACCCCAGACCUACUGAAUUAUUUAUAUUAAUUAAAAUUAAAUAAUUUUUAUUUCAACAAAAUCCCUGGGUAAUUUGUAUGUACAUUAAAUUUUGAGAUGCAUGAUCUUUUAAGGUUCAUUCUAAUCCUUAAAAUUCUGUUUUAAUAAUGUGUACAAUGAAGUGCUGCAUGGCAAACUACACAGAAACUAAAGGCAUGUUCCAAAAAGGAAAAGUUCCAUGUGGCUAGGGGAAUAAAAGCUUCAUCAGGGAACCAGGAGUUGGGCUGGUUCUUAAAACCUGGAGAAAGAAGAUGGUUACAUCAAGAGAUAAAUAGAGUGAAGCAGAACUAGUGGUGCGGACCAGCUCGCCAGCAACAGAAGGGUUUGUAGUCGGCCUGGCAGUGGACAGGGAGGUUGGCUAGAACUAUUACCUUAGGUCCGUGAUAAUAUCCCUGAAUCCAACUUUUCAGAAAGAAAUAGGUAACAUAUUUUUCACCAGGAAGCUUCACCCAGACACUGAACAGAAUGGUCUCAGUGCACUAAUGGAGGCUCAGUUAAAGGGUUGUGGUAGCACAAGGAAGAGACAUUCUGACUUGGAAAUUUGGAGAAGGCUUCACAAAUGAAGGGGCAUUUGAAAUGAGCUUUGAAGGUGCAAGAGUAUUCCAAGUUGAGAAGACAACCUGAGUGGUGUUGGGUGAACAGUCAUUCUACCUGGCUGUAGUGUAGUAUAGUGUAGUGUAGUGUAGGAAACAUCAGAGGAGUGGAGUGGGAUAUGAGCCUGGAGAGAGCUGGCGGCCAUGGAUCAUUGAAAGCCUUGAAUGUCUGAUGGGGAGGUUGACUUUAUUUUGUAGGCAAUGGAAAGCCACCAGUGGUUUUAGUUGAGCAGCAAUGAAAUUAAGCCUGUGCUUUGCAAAGAUUAAUCUAGCAGCAACAGAUUGGAAGCAACACCACCAUUCCUGGUAUCAGUCCAGGUAAAAUAUAUUACAGCUCUUUACUGGAGCAAUAACAGUAAUAUUAGAAGGAGAAAUAAAAAAGAAAAAUAUUGCACAGGCAGAAUGGGGAGGUCCCAGUGAUGGAGCUGAUCUUGGUUCAUUGAGGCAGGGGUGGCAUUAAUCAUGUAAAACACAGGAGGAGGAACUGGGUUAGGAGUAAUGGUAGAGUUCAGUUUAGGUAAUUGCAAAUACACACUAUUCCCUGACUAGCUCCCAAGACUUUUUCUUCCCUCUCUUCUUAGAACUUCAUUAGAAGAGGUGAUGUUAUUUCUUAGAUGAGAGUAUCUUACUUACCAUUGACUAAUACAUGUUCUCUGAUGAACUUUGCUAUUCAACAUACAUGCAAAGGGGUUAUAAAAACAAGUCAACUCUAGUGCUGAUGAGGGUGAUCAUCAUCACUGAUCAUGGUGUCAGUUGAUUAUAGUGUCAAUUUAUAACUUAAUUUAUGUAAAAUAGAGCAAUGCAAAAGACAUAGCAAUCUUCACUUCAAAUGAAGAGUCUUGAAUGCCACUUUUCUAAAGAGAAGGCUCAUGGAGGCACCUCCUCACUAUUGAAAAAUCCAUUAUACCUGUGAUAAAACUGAUUGUGUUCAGUUGUAUUAGAUUUGUAUGCAAAUAAAAAGUUGGGUAAUUAGCUAUACAUUGUCCUAAACGUAUAAAAUAAGAAAAAUACAUAGAUGUAUGGUUUCCUAGGACAUCUACCAGUUUAGAAUGCGAGGCUAAUGUGGGAGCUGCCACAGCAUCCUGAUUAAGGCUAUGGAAAGAAGUUGCAGACUGAUGAUGUCUUAGAAGUAAUGACAUUUUUUAAAGAUAAUAUUUCUUUGGUGAGAUAAACAGAUUAUAUUUUACAGUAAACACAUUUUAUAUUUCAGUUAAUAAGACAUUGUAUAUUAAAUAAUCGCAUUUAAUGCUUUACUUUUUUCCUGUGUUAAAAUUAAUCACUCAUGGCCUUGGCCAUAUGACUUUGCCAUUCCUCCCACUGUUUAUCUGACUUGUUUAUAUUUUAUUGAGCUUGCUCAUAUGACUUACAAUAGCCUGUGACAGAAGUGACAGGAGACCCCAUCCUGACCAAGACCUUAAGAGGCAUCCUAGUUUCCUCUCACUUUCACGAGCCUCUGCGGGGUUCAUCAUGAGAACAUAUCCCUAGAAACCACUGGACAAGGAGAACAAGAGGUAUAUGGAAUAGGUCUGAUCCACCCUUACCACCUGAAGUAGAGCUGCCCAGCUGGCUUGCAGACUCACAAACAUGAAAAUCAAUGUUUACUGCAGCAAUUCAUGAAACUUUGAGGCUGUUAUAAAAAGUAAAGGACCUAAUACAAAUGGAAAGAAACAUGGUUAGUAAGCAAAGCUAGUUAUGAGCAGCUGUCAUGUUCUAACAGUUGGAAUUUGAAUCAGAGCAACUAUUGGUAUUUGAAUCAGAGAGGGGCCAGACCAGUUUGGGUGAAACUCAGUUCAUCUUUUAAACUGACAAUAAAGGGAAUAUAUUUUCAUAGUAAUUUUAUCAUUAUGUGGCAAACUUUGUUCUGUGAGCUAUUAAAAUAUUCAUCUUGGCCAGGUGCAGUGGCUUACGCCUGUAAUCUCAACACUUUGGGAGGCCAAGGCAGGAGGAUUGCUUGAGGGCAGGAGUUCGAGACCAGCCUGGACAACAUAGGAAAACCCUGUCUCUACAGAAAAAAAAAUAGCUAGACAUGGUGGUGCACACCUGUAGUCCUAGCUACUUAGGUGCACACCUGUAGCCUUGCUUGAGCUUGGGAGGUCGAGGCUGCAGUGAGCCAUGAUCAUGCCACUGCAUUCCAGCCUGGGCAACAGAGCAAGACUAGCUCCAAAAAAAAAAUCAUCUUUAUUUUAAUAUUCAAAUUUACAUUUUGAGUAUGGAAUGUAAGCAUCAAGAAUUAAUCUUUAAAUCCAGAUGAAACUUUCCCAAGGUCUCUUGUCAUGCAUCUUGGACUGAAUAACAGGCAUCCCUGCCUUCACAUCUUCAUGGGAAGGCAACAAAACCUGAGGAAUACAACCUAGGAUCUCAAAAGCUUUUUUAGGAAUAAUGUCAUAUAUAAUAAAUAAUAGCAAGAAUGUUACAGCAUCUAUAGCUCUUUAAACUACCUCCCAAGGGAAAGACAAUGAGGGCUUAGUUCCUGUGUCUUUUAAACUUUAACUUUACGUGUAUUUUUUUGGACAUGUGCUGUCCAGUAUGGUAGCUACAAGCCACAUGUGAGGUGAACACACAGCUAGUCCUAAUUAAGAUGUGCUGUAAAUGUAAUAGACACAAAAUAUUUUGAAAAUUUAGUAUGAGAAAAAUAUUAACAAUUUUUAUAUUGAUUCCUUGAUAGUAUUUUGGAUUUAGUUGCUUUCUGAAAACUCUCCUGUGUUACCCAGUUUGAGUGUACCAUACCAUCCAUCUCUUGCAGGGACCUUGACUGAUACAACAUUAAAAUGAAGUGUAAUUUUAAAAAAUUUUAUUUACAUAUUUCUUAUUAAGAAUUGGAUGAAUUGAAACUUCUUUAUUUUCUUUCUCUUUCUUGUCACACAGAAAGCCUGAUUAAGUAGCAUUAUUCUUUUGUCUACAGAAGUAACCACUUCUGGCCAGGCAUGGUGGCUCACUCCUGUAAUCCCAGCACUUUGGGAGCCCGAGGCAAUAGGAUCACCUGAGAUUGGGAGUUGGAGACCAGCCUGGCCAACAUGGUGAAACCCUGUCUUUACUAAAAAUACAAAAAUUAGCCGGGUGUGGUGGUGGGCACCUGCAAUCCCAGCUACUCGGGAGGCUGAGGCAGGAGAAUUGCUUGAACCCAGGAGGCGGAGGUUGCAGUGAGCCGAGAUAGCACCACUGCACUCCAGCCUGGGCAAUGGAGUGAGACUCUCUCUCAAAAAAAAAAAAAAAAAAAAAAAAAAGUAAUGACUUCUGCUGAUCUUUUUUCUCCCCUAUAGGUUCAUAGAAAAAAAACUCCCACCUUAUAAAGGAAUCUUUAAAAGGUUCCUCAUAAAGGAACAGGGUUAGCAGAACCAAGUUUUGAGUCCUGGGUGAAAAUCCAGGGGAGAAUGGUAAUCAGUGAUAACCAAUGGCCAAUCCAAUAUUAAAAUUAGUUAACAGUGACCAAUCUUAUUUCACCUACCCCACCCAGAGUGGCCCAAAGCAGAUUGCUGGAUCUGCCUCUAAACCAACCUUCCUGCCAAAAUAAUUGGGGUUAGGUUGUGUCUGCUGAUUGUCUCCAUAAUUUGAGAUUUUAACAAGUUGAGUUUGGCUCCCAAAUACCUUAAAGGAUUUUUUUUUUGGCAUCUCUGGGGAGGGGGAGAUUGGACGUAGGCAACCAAACAGGAAUGGAAUAAGAAAAGAUUUGUGUUCUCUGAAGGAGACUUGUGAAGUCUAAUUCCAACUUGCUGAGGGAAAGUGUUUAGAAAAGAAAAAGCAAUAGGCUUCAACCAGAAGACAUGAGUUGGAGUAUCUGCUCUGCCAUGUAGUAGUUUGUGUGAUCCUCAUUUGUAAAAUGGAAAUACUAUUUACACCCUUAUGGGUUGUUGUGAGGGUCAGAAUAGAUUGUGUGCAUGACAGUGCUUUGUAUACGCAGACAGAAGGAAAAAAGCGGCUGUUAUUGGCUCAACUUAUUUGACCUUUAUUUUCAUCAUCAUCGGCCACUAUUUGAUGUCAAUCUACUAUGCUGUGAGCAAACAUUAAAAUUAGGAAGCCAGGGGUAUGGGAACCACUGAUUAGCAUCAUAUGCCAGAUGUGCUUCCAUCCAAAGCACAUGAACAGAAUGAUAUUAAAUUACAAGCCUAUCAGGAACAGACCAGCUUUCUGCCUCCCUUUCUAUGAAUACCAAGUCCCAUGAACCUUGUAUUCAUGUGGAGUUUUAAGUGCAUGCUUGGAAGUUAUGAGGAGACAGCCUGGUAUGUUCGGGAAAGAAAAUAAAGGUUAGGUACAUGGUAGGCUUUGGCUCAGCCAUUUGGGCAAAUGACUUAACCUCUCUGAACCUCAGUUUCUGUUUCUAUGAAGUGGGAAUUGUAAUACCUACCUUCUUCAGAUUGUUGUGAGGAUUAAAUGAGAAGAUGAAUGUAAUACCCUUGAGCACACAGCGUGGUACACCACAAAUGCUCAACCAACAGCAGCGAUGACAGUAUAGGCAACUACCACAAGAAAGAAUUUGAACAUGUCCCAAUUCGAAUUUUGAUUCCUAAUCAAGAUCUAGUGAAUUUAACCUAAGUAGCAGAAAAGAAGAUUAAGAGUUCCUUUCCACAGCUUUAUUAAGUUUUUAUAUUCACCUGGAUGUUGUCAAAAGUGACUUGAUCAUUCAAGAGAUAGGGGACAUUUGGCUUCCGGUUUGUGUGAGAGCUUUUCUUUCCCCAUCAGCUCAACAGUCAGUCCCCAGAUCUAGAGAUGGAGAGCUUGGGACAAGGUCAGAAUGAAACAUCACCAGUCAAUCCUGCUCAACAGGUAACUCUUGCAGCAAUCCUUAAGGAAAGGGGUGCAGGGUCUCUUCAUGUUUCCAUGGUAAGGUCUAUAGCUGCUGCUUCAUGGAAUAAGCAAACAAAGCCCAUGUUGUGUGACGGGUGGCAACACUUUCAGACUUGGAUCCUGCACAUUCUGAUGUGUAAAUUCCACGAUAGGGCAAAAGCAUGCCACUCCACACUAAUGCUGCCCUCUCACUAAAUUAAACCUUGGAAAAAUAAGAUGUGGCUUGGCUUUAAAACUCAGUGAACUAUCUUUAUGGUACAGUUGGUUUCCAUAGCUGUAAACACAAAAGAUCUAUGGUUUCUGCCUACCCAGGAUAGUCUUGUCUCUAGACAAUGUAUUGAUGAUGCAAAUGUUCUGGAACUAAAUAGUGGUGAUGGUGGCACAACACUGUGAAUGUACUAAAUGUCACUGAUUUGUACGUAUUUAAUAUGAAUUAAAUGUUAAAAUGGUGAAUUAUAUUUAUGUAUAUUUUACCAUAA